ensembl:rRNA 5S_rRNA 5S ribosomal RNA
GUCUACAGCCAUACCACCCUGAAUGCACCCCAUCUCAUCUGAUCUCAGAAGCUAAGCAGGGUCGGGUCUGGUUAGUACUUGGGUGGGAGAGUAGGUAGAAAAUGCUAGCUUUUUAAAAG